rnacentral:rRNA from 1 species
ACUGCUAUCGGAUUGAUACUAAGCCAUGCGAGUCAUUGUAGCAAUACAAGGCAGACGGCUCAGUAACGCGUAGUCAAUCUACCCUAUGGACGGGAAUAACCUCGGGAAACUGAGAAUAAUGCCCGACAGAACAUUAUACCUGGAACGGUUUAUGUUUCAAAUGAUUUAUCGCCGUAGGAUGGGACUGCGGCCGAUCAGGCUGUUGGUGAGGUAAUGGCCCACCAAACCUGUAACCGGUACGGGCUCUGAGAGGAGGAGCCCGGAGAUGGGCACUGAGACAAGGGCCCAGGCCCUAUGGGGCGCAGCAGGCGCGAAACCUCUGCAAUAGGCGAAAGCUUGACAGGGUUACUCUGAGUGAUUUCCGUUAAGGAGAUCUUUUGGCACCUCUAAAAAUGGUGCAGAAUAAGGGGUGGGCAAGUCUGGUGUCAGCCGCCGCGGUAAUACCAGCACCCCGAGUGGUCGGGACGUUUAUUGGGCCUAAAGCAUCCGUAGCCGGUUCUACAAGUCUUCCGUUAAAUCCACCUGCUUAACAGAUGGGCUGCGGAAGAUACUAUAGAGCUAGGAGGCGGGAGAGGCAAGCGGUACUCGAUGGGUAGGGGUAAAAUCCGUUGAUCCAUUGAAGACCACCAGUGGCGAAGGCGGCUUGCCAGAACGCGCUCGACGGUGAGGGAUGAAAGCUGGGGGAGCAAACCGGAUUAGAUACCCGGGUAGUCCCAGCUGUAAACGAUGCAGACUCGGUGAUGAAUUGGCUUAUUGCUAAUUCAGUGCCGCAGGGAAGCCGUUAAGUUUGCCGCCUGGGGAGUACGGUCGCAAGACUGAAACUUAAAGGAAUUGGCGGGGGAGCACCACAAGGGGUGAAGCCUGCGGUUCAAUUGGAGUCAACGCCGGAAAUCUUACCGGGGGCGACAGCAGAGUGAAGGUCAAGCUGAAGACUUUACCAGACAAGCUGAGAGGAGGUGCAUGGCCGUCGCCAGCUCGUGCCGUGAGGUGUCCUGUUAAGUCAGGUAACGAGCGAGAUCCCUGCCUCUAGUUGCUACCAUUAUUCUCAGGAGUAGUGGAGCUAAUUAGAGGGACCGCCGUCGCUGAGACGGAGGAAGGUGGGGGCUACGGCAGGUCAGUAUGCCCCGAAACCCUCGGGCCACACGCGGGCUGCAAUGGUAAGGACAAUGAGUUUCGAUUCCGAAAGGAGGAGGCAAUCUCUAAACCUUACCACAGUUAUGAUUGAGGGCUGAAACUCGCCCUCAUGAAUAUGGAAUCCCUAGUAACCGCGUGUCACUAUCGCGCGGUGAAUACGUCCCUGCUCC